GACGAACGCUGGCGGCGUGCUUAACACAUGCAAGUCGAGCGGUAAGGCCCUUUCGGGGGUACGACGAGCGGCGAACGGGUGAGUAACACGUAGAUGACCUGCCCUCAGCUCUGGGAUAAGCCUGGGAAACUGGGUCUAAUACUGGAUAUGACUCCACGGUGCAUGUCGUGGGGUGGAAAGCCUUGUGCGGCUGAGGAUGGGCCCGCGGCCUAUCAGCUUGNGGUGGGGUGAUGGCCUACCAAGGCGACGACGGGUAGCCGGCCUGAGAGGGGCGACCGGCCACACUGGGACUGAGACACGGCCCAGACUCCUACGGGAGGCAGCAGUGGGGAAUCUUG
rnacentral:rRNA from 1 species